AGGUCAGUAGGUUGGUCGUGCCACCGGUACGUACUGGUCUCACUGAUUCCUCCUUCCUGAAGAACCGUAAUGCCAUUAAUUUGGUGUUGCGGGGAAACAGGACUGUUACUUUGAAAAAAUUAGAGUGGUUAAAGCAAGCUAACGCUUGAAUACAUUAGCAUGGAAUAAUGAAAUAGGACGAUCGAUCCUAUUUUGUUGGUUUCUAGGAUUGACGUA
rnacentral:rRNA from 1 species